rnacentral:rRNA from 1 species
GUGAGGAAUUUUCCGCAAUGGGCGAAAGCCUGACGGAGCAAUGCCGCGUGAAGGAUGAAGGCCUAUGGGUUGUAAACUUCUUUUCUUAGAGAAGAAUAUUGACGGUAUCUGAGGAAUAAGCAUCGGCUAACUCUGUGCCAGCAGCCGCGGUAAGACAGAGGAUGCAAGCGUUAUUCGGAAUGAUUGGGCGUAAAGCGUCUGUAGGUGGCUUCAAAAGUCUCCUGUCAAAGAUCAGGGCUUAACCCUGGGCCGGGAGGAGAAACUCUGAGGGUAGAGUUUGGUAGGGGCAGAGGGAAUUCCCGGUGGAGCGGUGAAAUGCGUAGAGAUCUGGAGGAACACCAAAGGCGAAAGCACUCUGCUGGGCCACAACUGACACUGAGAGACGAAAGCGAGGGGAGCAAAAGGGAUUAGAAUCCCCUGUAGUCC